rnacentral:rRNA from 1 species
GUGGGGAAUAUUGCACAAUGGGCGAAAGCCUGAUGCAGCGACGCCGCGUGAGGGAUGACGGCCUUCGGGUUGUAAACCUCUUUCAGCAGGGACGAAGCGUGAGUGACGGUACCUGCAGAAGAAGCACCGGCUAACUACGUGCCAGCAGCCGCGGUAAUACGUAGGGUGCGAGCGUUGUCCGGAAUUAUUGGGCGUAAAGAGCUCGUAGGCGGUUUGUUGCGUCGGCCGCGAAAACUUCACGCUUAACGUGGAGCCUGCGGUCGAUACGGGCAGACUUGAGUUCGGCAGGGGAGACUGGAAUUCCUGGUGUAGCGGUGAAAUGCGCAGAUAUCAGGAGGAACACCGGUGGCGAAGGCUGGUCUCUGGGCCGAUACUGACGCUGAGGAGCGAAAGCGUGGGGAGCGAACAGGAUUAGAUACCCUGGUAGUCCACGCCGUAAACGGUGGGUGCUAGGUGUGGGGGGCUUCCACGUCCUCCGUGCCGCAGCUAACGCAUUAAGCACCCCGCCUGGGGAGUACGGCCGCAAGGC